rnacentral:rRNA from 1 species
UACGUAGGGCGCGAGCGUUGUCCGGAAUUAUUGGGCGUAAAGAGCGUGUAGGCGGUUUGGUAGGUCCGCUGUGAAAACUCGAGGCUCAACCUCGAGACGCCGGUGGAAACCAUCAGACUAGAGUCCGGAAGAGGAGAGUGGAAUUCCUGGUGUAGCGGUGAAAUGCGCAGAUAUCAGGAGGAACACCGGUGGCGAAGGCGGUUCUCUGGGCCUGUACUGACGCUGAGGAGCGAAAGCGUGGGGAGCGAACAGG